GGAACAAACAUUGAGCGAGGAUACACGUUCCGAGGUUCCUCACGAUGUCUCCUCUCUGGAUCUUCCGCACUAGCUGUAAAGCUGCACCGAGCAACGGCGCAGAAAUGUAUGAUGUUUUACGAAUCCGUUAAUUCAGUAAUCAGAAAGUACCAUAGCUGUAAGUAGCUAUGCACGUCUCGACCGCUACCUAAUCAGAACGCCACGCUAACUACGUGCCCGCAGCCGCGGUAAUACGUAGGUGGCAAGCGUUAUCUGAAUUAUUGGGCGUAAGCGCGCGUAGGCCGUUUUUUAAGUCUGAUGUGAAAGCCCACGGCUUCAACCCGUGGAGGGUCAUUGGAAACUGGAAAACUUGAGUGCAGAAGAGGAAAGUGGAAUUCCAUGUGUAGCGGUGAAAUGCGCAGAGAUAUGGAGGAACACCAGUGGCGAAGGCGACUUUCUGGUCUGUAACUGACGCUGAUGUGCGAAAGCGUGGGGAUCAAACAGGAUUAGAUACCCUGGUAGUCCACGCCGUAAACGAUGAGUGCUAAGUGUUAGGGGGUUUCCGCCCCUUAGUGCUGCAGCUAACGCAUUAAGCACUCCGCCUGGGGAGUACGACCGCAAGGUUGAAACUCAAAGGAAUUGACGGGGACCCGCACAAGCGGUGGAGCAUGUGGUUUAAUUCGAAGCAACGCGAAGAACCUUACCAAAUCUUGACAUCCUCUGACCCCUCUAGAGAUAGAGUUUUCCCCUUCGGGGGACAGAGUGACAGGUGGUGCAUGGUUGUCGUCAGCUCGUGUCGUGAGAUGUUGGGUUAAGUCCCGCAACGAGCGCAACCCUUAAGCUUAGUUGCCAUCAUUAAGUUGGGCACUCUAAGUUGACUGCCGGUGACAAACCGGAGGAAGGUGGGGAUGACGUCAAAUCAUCAUGCCCCUUAUGAUUUGGGCUACACACGUGCUACAAUGGACAAUACAAAGGGCAGCGAAACCGCGAGGUCAAGCAAAUCCCAUAAAGUUGUUCUCAGUUCGGAUUGUAGUCUGCAACUCGACUAUAUGAAGCUGGAAUCGCUAGUAAUCGUAGAUCAGCAUGCUACGGUGAAUACGUUCCCGGGUCUUGUACACACCGCCCGUCACACCACGAGAGUUUGUAACACCCGAAGCCGGUGGAGUAACCAUUUGGAGCUAGCCGUCGUAAGGUGGGACAAAUGAUUGGGGUGAAGUCGUAAUCAUAGAGACAACCCG
rnacentral:rRNA from 1 species